rnacentral:tRNA from 1 species
GCCUGCGUAGCUCAGCGGUAGAGCGGCUCCACUUGCGGGUGGUCAGGGGUUCAAAUCCCCUCGCAGGCA